GUUUCAGAAAACCAAUUCUCUGAGAGAUUAUAAAUUGAGAAAGCAAAAAUGGUGAAGAUCUGCUGCAUUGGUGCCGGAUACGUCGGAGGGCCUACAAUGGCUGUUAUUGCACUGAAGUGCCCGUCCAUUGAAGUGGCUGUUGUGGAUAUCUCCGUGUCCCGGAUCAAUGCCUGGAACAGUGAGCAGCUCCCGAUCUAUGAGCCAGGUCUUGAUGGCGUC
rnacentral:misc_RNA from 1 species